GUCGGGGUGAGGAUGAGGGUGAGCCCUGGGCACGGCCCUUGUCUGCCCGGACAGCGCACCGGCACCGCGGCUGCUGUAAGAUAUCGCCCCCUGUGCUCCGGGAUAACACCUUGGCCCCACCUGGAGCUCUGCAUCGCGGUUCUGGAGCUUUUUUAGGGGGUCAGCACCCGUCUAAAGCAGUGCUGCUUUAGGAAAGGAGCCUGCGUGGUGUAGGAGUGACGCGAUGGUCAGCGGCCGGAGCUGGGAUUUGUCCGAAUCCUGGCCCCAAGCCUAUCGCGUUUCCCAGCUCGGCGGGGCUGUGCGCGUUGCUCUCCCUGCUUUCCCGGGAUCCCUCGCUGUGUGCAGGGUCGGAGCAGCCCCCGGUGCCCCAGCCGGGCCAUCCCUGCACAGCGAACAGGAGGUGCCGUGCCUGGGCUUUCCAUGGCGUGGUUUCUUUCCGCCCGGGAGUUUGGACUGGACAGAACUCGGCCUUUUUCCCAGGACUGCCACCAGCCUAGAAUUUUGGUCUAACCUUCCUGGAUAGACAUUUAAACACUGGUUGUUGGUAAAUGCCCUGUUACAUCGAAGCAGAAUUUCGAUUCACUCUGGGCUCUGAACAAACAGAAUCGUCAAUAUGUGUUGGGACUGAGAGACACCUUUUGUUGGUGGCUGGGUACAGAGAACAAAUACGAGAUUUCCUCACUUCCAGAACAGUUUGUACAUCCUGAGCAACACCAGCAACGCUCCCUGCCAGCUGCCACUUUGUCACUGCAGCCCCUGGCAGCACAGAAACAGCACCGAAAGCUGCAGGGGAGAAGGGUUAAAGAGCUUCCCUUUCACCUGACGCAAAUACACCAGGAAUACCUGGAAAAGAAAGGGCUGUCAGGAAUGCUGUCAGGAGAAAGGACAGCUGUUUGUUUUCUGUCCUCCCACAGAGUACAAGCUAUUUAAAUAUUUACAUGUUCUGUUAUUAAAAGACUCCUUUCUUUUC